rnacentral:rRNA from 1 species
GACGAACGCUGGCGGCGUGCCUAAUACAUGCAAGUCGAGCGAACAGAAGAGGACCUUGCUCCUCUGACGUUAGCGGCGGACGGGUGAGUAACACGUGGAUAACCUGCCUAUAUGACUGGGAUAACGUCGGGAAACCGGAGCUAAUACUGGAUAAUCUCUUGCAUCGCAUGGUGCAUUAGUGAAAGGCGGUGUUGCUGUCACGUAUAGACGGAUCCUCGCCGCAUUAGCUAGUUGGUAGGUUGCCGGCUUACGAAGGCAACGAUGGUUAGCCGGCCGGCGAGGGUGAUGGGCCACCGUGCACCUUGGACACGGUCCAGGCUCCUGCGGGCGGCAGCAGUAGGGAAUCGUCCACAAUGGGCGAAGGCCUGACGGCGCAACCCCGCGUGAGUGAUGAGGGUCGUCGGAUCGUGAGUCUUUGUUAUUAGGGGAGAACGAAUAUGUAAGUAACUAUGCACGUCGUGACGGUACCUAAUCAGAAAGCCACGGCUAACUACGUG